rnacentral:rRNA from 1 species
GACGGAGGGUGCAAGCGUUGUUCGGAAUCACUGGGCGUAAAGCGCGUGUAGGCGGUUGAAUAAGUCGGAUGUGAAAGCCCGGAGCUCAACUCCGGAAGUGCAUUCGAAACUGUUCAGCUCGAGUACGGGAGAGGGAAGUGGAAUUCCUGGUGUAGAGGUGAAAUUCGUAGAUAUCAGGAGGAACACCGGUGGCGAAGGCGGCUUCCUGGACCGAUACUGACGCUGAGACGCGAAAGCGUGGGGAGCAAAC